ensembl:lncRNA
GCGUGCGCUUGGAAACACCUUCCGUGUUCAUAAUUCUAGAGCUUGAGGAAGUUUCGCAGCGCUUAAAUAUUCGUUGACGUGUGCAUUUGAUUUCAUUCAGUGGGAUAGUGGGAUUCAAUCAACAAUGAGCUUCUAGUCUGAACUGAACUGAAUGAACCUUGAAUGAAGUCAAGUGAGAACUUGACUGGAUCGUCCCACUUUCCUGUACAGGGGGGAUUCUUGACCUAUGAGGACACACGUACACGAGCAUCCUGUAGAUGGCAGUGACGUUAUUUUUGUACAGCUGGUUCUUCUGAAGAAGUGCUACUGCACCAUAGACAGUUUGUAUUACAGAGUGUUACAUCAUGGCAUUUCCCCAAAGGCUGCAGCAGUGAGGUUUUGCCUCUGCCACUCAAUGUCCCAAUCACAUGAAGAGCUUUAAAGCAGCUGAGCCGAAGACACUUAACUUCCCCUGAGAUGAAAGAGAAAAGAAGGACUGUGCAUAAGGCCUGCACUGCAGUAAACAAAUUGGUGGAAUGUCAGAAAAACAUUUAGCUGAAAAUUGAUUGGUUUCUGAUUGAAAGGCUGUGUCAGAUAUUAUACUA